AUACGGAGGAUGCAAGCGUUAUCCGGAUUUAUUGGGUUUAAAGGGUGCGCAGGCGGAACAUUAAGUCAGUGGUGAAAUCUUACCGCUUAACGGUAAAACUGCCAUUGAUACUGAUGUUCUUGAGUGCAGUUGAGGUAGGCGGAAUGUGUAAUGUAGCGGUGAAAUGCUUAGAUAUUACACAGAACACCGAUUGCGAAGGCAGCUUACUAAACUGUUACUGACGCUGAGGCACGAAAGCGUGGGGAGCGAACAGGAUUAGAAACCCCGGUAGUCC
rnacentral:rRNA from 1 species